AUCCUGCACGGGUCGUCACUAAUGCUCAGAUUCACGCAGAGGGUCAGAACGCAGGCUCCACGCACACCCCACAACAUGGCGUACGCUUCUUCGACCUCACAGGUGUGGAGCAAGAAAAUUUAGUUUUAACACCAUUGAACUACGGGUUUUUUGAUGGGAACAUUCUAUAAGAUACUGAAGGAGUUCUCAGAAGAACUUGAAGUGAAGCACACCUCCCUCAGUCGGGGCAAAGUUACAGCCUCCUCUACAACCUAAUCGAUGCAAGUGGUCUAACACAGACAGAAGGCUACAAAGAGAUCUGCAAUAAGGAAAAGUAUCCCUCAAUGUCUUCAGCACACUGUGAAAAGGACAAAGACAUUUAUGUGUGAAAUGUUUGUCUCCCCUUUUUAGAUAAUUGUAACUUUUUCAUGGAUCUUUACCAUCAAGGCUCCCAAUCAGUAUAAAAUUAAGCUUUCUGCACAGUCUCUCCAUCCUUGUUGAAAAAUGAUUGUAGCUAUUUAACUCUUUGGUGCUUACUGCUGUUUCUUGUUCUUUCUUCAUUCAAUUUUGCACAAAUAUCCAGACAUUAUUUCUCAAAAACUAUACAUUAAAAGGGUGGCUCAAGAUUUUGGAAGUGGGUUUCUGUUAAAACGUUAUUACAAGUUAGUCUCUGGCCUGCAGUA